rnacentral:misc_RNA from 1 species
GUAUUAAUAUUAAGGCCUCACGGCACAAUCACGUUCAAUAUUGAAAUAAAGUGUGUAAUGAGAGGAAGGGACUCCAAGAAGAACUCGGAGACCCUCUCUAAAUGUGCACAGGUGUUUGGAUGAAGAUUGUUAGGAGCGAGCACAUACAAUACAGCCAAGCUGCCAGCAUCAACUCCGAUUACAAUUCAUUAAUGAUCCUUCCGCAGGUUCACCUACGGAAA